rnacentral:lncRNA from 1 species
UUGUUAAUCAAGAAGACAUUUAACCCUUGGGUUACUCGGGUUACUCGGGUUACAGGUUACAGGGUUAAAUGUAGGUUACUUGGGUUACUCGGGUUACAGGUUACUUGGGUUACUCGGGUUACAAGGCUGAAUGAGGGUGCUGUUGGUCUUUGUGCACAACCCAUCUCAGACCUAGAUUAUGUUCUCUAUAUAAACGUGUGUGCCUCCUCAUUGUGUGAUACACAUCUUUAUUCAACACAUUUUAAGUUUCUCUCUAUUCUUAAAUCAUGUUUCAAUCAAUCUUUCCUACUUAAAUAUUCUCAUGGUAUCAGAGCACGUUCUUAAUCUUUAAUCUUCAUCUUCUGGUUCUUCAAUAAUCUGUUUCGAUUUCCAAAUACUCUGUUUUGGUUCAUCGGUUCUCUGUUUUCUCUUUGUCUCUGUUCGAAUCUGGCUUCUAAACAAGUUGUUCGAUUUCUUCUUCUACUUCUUCACGAAAAGGCAUCUGUUUGUGAAGGAGAGUUACUACUGGUCUGUGACAGAGCUAUUCAUCGUAAAAGCCUCAACCUUUCUGAGUUCUUUGUUGAUUAGUGUCAAAGCGGGUUGAAGAGGAGAAGUUUUCAGGCGUUUGGUCUUGUGUAUCCAAAGGUUUGAGCUUUUAUCUUCUUUAGGUCGAGAUUCUUAGAUACUUUCAGAACUAGGCUCAGAACUUAAGCUUCGGUAGAGUAGUAGUUGCUGAUUGGUUUGUUUGCGGUUGCUUAUUGGGAAGAAAGUCGACACCUUUUCGGUUUAUUUGUGGUUAUUACAUCCUGAAACUGUUGAAGAUGGCUCUCACAGUUCAGAAAACGAGUGAUACGUUCAAGGACUUGAAAGACUUGAAAUUCGCAGUCACGUUGAAUGGUAACAACUAUCUGUUGUGGAAGAGAACCACAACAAAUGUAUUGGGAGGAAGGAAACUCACUAAAUACAUCGAAAAUACCUAUGAAGAAGCAAAGGCUAAAGAAGAGAACUUGAGUGAAGAUACUUGGAGGCAGAAUGAUCUGAAUGUUUUAAGCGCUCUACAUUGUUCUCUAGACGCUGCGAUCUUGGAAAGGUAUUCGUAUUGUGAGACUUCAAAGGAGUUAUGGGAAACUCUAGCUAAUGUCUUUGGCAAUGAGACUAAUCUGACCCGAGUGUACCAUAUCAAGAAAGCUCUUGGUGAGCUAAGUCAAGAAGAGAGUGAUUUCAACACUCACUUUGGAAAGUACAGGUCGCUUGUAGCUGAGCUUGAGAUGUUAAGACCCUUCACUACUGAGGCAAAGGCUCUUAAGGAUCGUAGAGAGCAAGAUUUGGUCUUCGGUUUGUUGCUGACACUAAACUCGAGCUACACUGAUGUGAUUCAGCAUAUACUAAGAGAUGACAAGGUGCCAACUCUAGAACAAGCGUGUGCGAAGAUUCAGAAAGAGUAUGGAGCUCAAGGACUGUUUAACAGCAAAGGAAGUCUCCCGACUGCAAACAAGGCUGGAGUUGUCAAGCAAGAAGACAAGAAGACAUGGGUUUGUGACCAUUGCAAGAAAAAAGGUCACUUGAAGGAAAAAUGCUGGCUUCUUCAUCCCCAUUUAAAACCAGAAAAAUUCAAGAACUUCAAGCCAAAGGCAAAUGCGGUUAAUGGAAGUGAUGGUGGGUCAGAGAAUGAAGAAAGAGCUAUGGUUCAGUACGGGCAAGAGAAAGCGAUGCAGGCCAUUACACAAGGCAAGAGUGGCGCAUCUACCUCACAAGCUCAGGAGACUAUUGUCAUGAACAAGGCUGAACUCGAGUCUCUCCUCCAAUCCAUUGCAUCUAAAUUACACAUUGGCGGUAUUUCUUUCUUAACUUCUAAUACUCGUGAUAAAGAUUCAUUAGUAUUAGAUUCAGGGGCUUCUCACCAUAUGAUUAGUAACCCUAGGUUGUUAGAGAACAUUAAACCGGCCUUAGGUAAUGUUAAAGUUGCAAAUGGACAUAAUGUUCCAAUAGAAGGCAUAGGUUGCAUAGAUUUGUUCAAUAAGAAGUUAUGCCUAAGUUCACUUCAAAUCUUCUCUCUGUUAAGAAAACGACUAAGGACUUGAAUUGUUUAGCUAUUUUUAGUCCUAAUGACGUGAAGUUGCAGGAUAUUGAGAGUGGAAAAGUGUUUGGGCAAGGAAGCACCAAGGAUGACUUAUAUGUGUUUCAAGACAUCUCUUUAAAUUCUGUUUCUAAGAAUAAUGUUUCUUCUAUCUUUGUAAACUCUGUUAAAACUUCGGUUGUAUUGUGGCAUGAGAGACUUGGCCAUCCACAUUCUCGAGCUUUAAGUUUAUUAAUGCCUGGUUUUUCUUAUGAUUGCGCAAAUUGUGAAGCAUGCAUAUUAGGCAAACAUUGCAAAGCUGUUUUUCCUAAGUCUAGUGCGAUUUAUGAAAAAUGUUUUGACCUUGUGCAUUCUGAUGUGUGGUCUUCACCUUGUGCAUCUAGAGACAAUCAUAAGUACUUUGUCACUUUUAUAGAUGAGAAAUCUAAGUAUACAUGGGUAACUUUGAUGCCAUCUAAGGAUAGAGUUUAUGAUGCGUUUAUAAACUUUCAAAACUAUGUGACUAAUCACUUUGAUGCAAAGAUUAAGAUUCUUAGAACAGAUAAUGGAGGUGAAUAUACAAGCAACAAGCUCAAAGAACACUUGGAGAAAUGCGGAAUCCUUCACCAAACUAGUUGUCCAUACAAUCCACAACAAAAUGGAGUUGCUGAGAGGAAGAAUAGGCAUUUAAUGGAGGUGGCAAGAGCUAUGUUAUUUCAGAAGCAUAUGCCAAAGCGGUUUUGGGGAGAUGCGGUGAUGACAAUAUGUUAUCUCAUCAAUCGAAUACCGACACGUAUCCUUGAUGAUAAAUCUCCAUUUCAGAUUUUAAACAAAAGUAUCCCGAACAUUGAUCAUUUGAGGGUCUUUGGAAGUCUUUGUUUUGUGUUUGUCCCAGGUGACUUGAGGAACAAGCUGGAACCCAAGAGUAAUAAGUGUGUUUUUAUUGGAUACUCAACAACUCAGAAAGGUUACAAGUGCUUCGAUCCAGCCAACAAUCGAUAUUAUGUAUCAAGGGAUGUCAAGUUUAUGGAAGACAAGGCCUACUUUGAAGAGAAGAGCUGGGAAAGCGUUAAGGACCUCUCUAAUUCUACUUCAGAUCGUGCUCAGAGUCUUCGGCAUAUUCUAGAACAUUUGGGUAAUGUAAGCUCUCCACAAGAACAUAAGGAAGCUACACCAAAUGAUGGUAACAAUCAAGCCCAAGAAAGCGGUGAUAAUACACCACAAGAGUCUCUGGAUAAUCAACAAGAAAGUGGUAGAGAAGAAGGGUUAAGUGAAGAAGUGGAAGAGAAAGAUCCAUCUAGUGAAGGUGACAUUAUUGAAUCAUCAAGAGGAGAUGAGACUUAUCAAGCUCCACCAGUAACACGAGAUCCUAUCUAUACUCGGGAGAAUCCAAGAAGGAGUACAAGAGAGAGAAAAUUGAAGAAGUGCCUCUAUAAUUGCCAAGCCGUGGCUCAUCCAAUUCAAGCAACAUUUUCGAUUGACCUUCUUCCUGAGGAACAUAAAGCUUUCAUUAGUAAGCUAGAUGUGGAAUUUAUCCCACAAAGCUAUGAAGAAGCUAAAGAAAGAAAGGAGUGGACGAAUGCGGUAGAUGAUGAAGUACAAGCUAUGAUAAGGGAACCAUACAUGGGAUGAAGAAGAGCUACCAAAAGGAAAGAAGUGUGUUAGCUCAAAAUGGGUAUUCACCAUUAAGUACAAGAGUGAUGGUGAAAUUGAAAGAUAUAAGGCUAGGCUGGUUGCAAGAGGGUUCACACAAACCUAUGGUGAUGAUUAUAGGGAAACAUUUGCUCCGGUAGCUAAGCAACACACGGUGAAGGUUGUUCUAUCUUUGGUGGUUAAUUUGGAUUGGGAGUUGUGGCAAAUGGAUGUCAAGAAUACUUUCCUUCAGGGGGAGUUGGAAGAAGAAGUCUACAUGUCACCUCCUCCAGGUUUAGAAGACAUAGUGGCUCCGGGAAAGGUCUUAAGGCUUCGGAAAGCAAUCUAUGGUCUCAAACAGUCUCCAAGAGCUUGGUAUCACAAGCUAAGCUCCACCUUAUUGGCUAAUGGCUUCAAGAAGUCACAUUCGGAUCAUACUUUGUUUACUAAGCAAGAUAAUCAAGGCAUAGUAGUGGUAUUGGUCUAUGUUGAUGACUUGAUUAUCUCGGGAAGUAACAAAGAAGGGAUCCAAGCGAUUAAGUCUUCUUUACACUCAGCCUUUGAUAUUAAAGAUUUGGGUGUGUUGAAGUAUUUCUUAGGGAUUGAGGUGUGUAGAUCCAAGGAGGGACUGUUUCUCUCACAAAGGAAAUACGCCCUCAAUCUCCUAAAGCUUACAGGGAAACUUGGAGCUAAACCAGUGGAUACACCACUAGAGCAAGGAUACAAGGUCAAUCGAAAGGGGGAGAAGGAUGAUACUCCAUAUCAUUGCCCGGAACAGUAUAGAAGACUUGUAGGUAAGCUCAUAUAUUUGACAUAUACUCAGCCUGAUCUCUCUUUUGCCGUGAAUCAGGUGGCUCAGCAUAUGCAAGCCCCUACGGUGUACCAUUGGAGUUUGGUGGAGAGAAUUCUGAGAUAUAUCAAAGGAAGUCCCGGCAAAGGCAUUUGGAUGGGAAGAAACUUUAGCACGUAAAUUGUUGGGUACUGUGAUGCAGACUACAAUGGAGAUCGCAACACAAGGCAGUCCACAACCGGCUUUUGUACUUUCAUUGGUGGCAAUCUUGUAACUUGGAAGACAAAGAAACAGAAGGUGGUGUCCUGUUCGAGUGCUGAAGCGGAGUAUAGGGCUAUGAAGAAGCUCACAAACGAAUUGACAUGGCUGAAGGCUCUACUAAAGGACUUUGGGAUCGAGCAAAAGACGCCAAUUACCUUCCAUUGCGACAACCAAGCAGCCAUCCAUAUUGCUACUAACCCCGUGUUCCACGAGAGGACCAAGCACAUAGAGACGGACUGCCACAAGACAAGAGAGAAGAUCGAAGACGGUACAAUCCUUCCUUGCUACACUACGAGUUCGGACCAAUUGGCCGAUAUCUUCACCAAGGCAGCAAGUAACCAAGUUUGUCAAUUUAUCCAUGGCAAACUUGGUCUUGUAGACCUCACACAUCCUUGAGAAAGGCUCCCUAACUCGUUGGGACAAUACUCUUUUUCCCUAGGCUUGGUUUUGUCCCACGUGGUUUUCCAAGCUUAGGUUUUUAAUGAGGUUGUUCUUGCGAGUGCCAAGUUUAUACACAAUAAGUAUUGUAGUAUAAACUUGAGGGGGAGUGUUAAUCAAGAAGACAUUUAACACUUGGGUUACUCGGGUUACUCUGGUUACAGGUUACAUGGUUAAAUGUAGGUUACUUGGGUUACUCGGGUUACAUGUUACUUGGGUUACUCGGGUUACAAGGCUGAAUGAGGGUGCUGUUGGUCUUUGUGCACAACCCAUCUCAGACCUAGAUUAUGUUCUCUAUAUAAACGUGUGUGCCUCCUCAUUGUGUGAUACACAUCUUUAUUCAACACAUUUUAAGUUUCUCUCUAUUCUUAAAUCAUGUUUCAAUCAAUCUUUCCUACUUAAAUAUUCUCAGUGUUGAUAUUGCUGAUCCGUUUUGUCUCACCCUUGUGGAGAGAACUCUAUCACUCUUCUCCCUCGUAGAGAGAACUCUGUCACC